UACGGAGGGAGCUAGCGUUGUUCGGAAUUACUGGGCGUAAAGCGUACGUAGGCGGUUAUUCAAGUCAGAGGUGAAAGCCCGGGGCUCAACCCCGGAACUGCCUUUGAAACUAGGUAGCUAGAAUCUUGGAGAGGUCAGUGGAAUUCCGAGUGUAGAGGUGAAAUUCGUAGAUAUUCGGAAGAACACCAGUGGCGAAGGCGACUGACUGGACAAGUAUUGACGCUGAGGUGCGAAAGCGUGGGGAGCAAACAGG
rnacentral:rRNA from 1 species